rnacentral:rRNA from 1 species
AGCAGCCGCGGUAAUUCCAGCUCCAAUAGCGUAUAUUAAAGUUGUUGCAGUUAAAAAGCUCGUAGUUGAAUUUCGGAAUCAAUGGAUCGGUCAUGCCACUCGGUGUGUACUGGUUUGAUUGGUUCUCACCUUCUAAGGAACCGUGAUGUCAUUAAUUUGGUGUCGCGGGGAAUUAGGACUGUUACCUUGAAAAAAUUAGAGUGUUUAAAGCAAGCUCACGCUUGAAUACAUUAGCAUGGAAUAAUGAAAUAGGACAUUGUAUUCUAUUUUGUUGGUUUCUAGGAUCGAUGUAAUGAUUAAUAGGGAUAGUUGGGGGCAUUAGUAUUCAAUUGUCAGAGGUGAAAUUCUUGGAUUUAUUGAAGACUAACUACUGCGAAAGCAUUUGCCAAGGAUGUUUUCAUUAAUCAAGAACGAAAGUUAGGGGAUCGAAGACGAUCAGAUACCGUCGUAGUCUUAACCAUAAACUAUGCCGACUAGGGAUCGGAUGAUGUUGAUUUUUAAUGACU